GGGUGUGUCGUCUAAGGGUUAGGACCUCUGCCUUUUAAGCAGGUCAUACUGGUUCGAGUCCAGUCACACCCA
rnacentral:tRNA from 1 species